AGCCCUGGGUGCACAGGAGGCGAACAGCUGCGGUGGGAGGGCCGGGGCAGAGGCGUGGCCGGGCAGACCCAGCUCGCCGGUCCUCCCGCCGGUUCAACCCUCUCCCGAAGGACAACAGGCCCGGGUGUAGGCGACAGACCCCGGCCUCCUCUGGGGUCACACUUCCUACGGAGGUCGCCUCCUCCCUCUCCUCAGCGCGCCCCAUUUCUCCGCACCACCGGAGCCCUGGCAGUGCACUGGGCAUGUUGGGGCCACGCACCGUACCUAUACUCAGCAUCUCUACGCAUCUCAGCACGUAUGCCUUCCUGGACUCCGCUUCCUACCUCCUGAGGGUCCAAGGAAG
rnacentral:lncRNA from 1 species